AAGAUAGGCCCUGUAGCCUAUAGGUUGGCAUUGCCACCUAGUAUUGGAGACGUGCACAAUGUGUUUCAUGUCUCUCAGUUAAGAAAGUAUGUGUUUAAUCCUAAGAGUUUGAUUAAGCAAGAUAAAGUAGUCCUAGCCAGGACCUAAGUUGUGAAGAGAAAUCAGUCCAGAUACUUGAUCGCAAGAUUCAAGUUUUACGAGGCAAUGAUAUUGUUCUCGUCAUGUAGUGGAACCAUCACAGGAUGGAAAAGGCCACAAAAGAGAUGAAUGAAACGAAUGACUAGUAUCACAAGAUAGAAUACCAGAUAUGCAAUUCCGAGGACGGAAUUUUUAUAAGGAGGGAGGAAUGUAAUACCCCGUUUCCCUGAGUUAAAUUUAGAAUUUAUUUUCAAAAUUUAGAAGUAAGAUGAUUCACGCCGGAUAUAAAGAAAAUGAAUUUAUUUUAAUUCCAACAAACGAUUUGCAAAAUCCUCUUUGUAAAUGUUAGUCAUUUAAAUUCUUAUGCAUUUCAUAUUUAUUUAAAUUGAAUAUUAAGCAUUUAACAUCUACACGAGCUAUUUAUUUAAGCAAACACUGAACGAUUAUUACAGUUUUCAUAAUACAACCCGGAAGACCUUAUUUUAUAUUACUCUCCCACCUACUUCCUUCCACCUACUCCCUCUCACACCCACCUACUCCCUUCUUUUUGCAAACUUAAUAUAGCUGGUUGAUCCGAGCUUCCAUUUUCUAUCCUCCACAAUCAUCCCACAUAUUUCAUCUCCCUCAUCAAUUUUCAGCACAUCAGCUACUGAACAAAUUCAGAAGAUUUGCAGAAUGAUAACCCAACAGAUUUCUUUUGAAGGCUUUGUGGACCAAGGGGAUUAGCGCUGCUUUCCCAAGACAGGUUAUGUGAUUAUGAUCUUCAGGCUUUGCCUAAUCAGGUUGAGCAGUUGAUGGAAUGGAAUGAUGUUGAGCGGGUGUUCCUUUGACAUUUCAAGAAAUGUAACCUUGAGUAUACAUCUUCAUAUGUAUAUCUCACACGUUUUCCGCUGCAAAACACUUCGAUUAGGAUAGCUCUAUGAUAUGAAGUUGUGAUACGUGUUAUUGGGUAACCACCUUAAUCAGUUCUCAAUUAUGUGUAUGUUUUAUAAGUAUCCAAAUAAUCAUAUAUGAUCCUAGUAUUUUAUCUAUGAGUGACAUUUCCAUAUACUUUAAUGUUAAGUAAUUGUCCAUUUC